UGGUCGCUAGGAGCUAGCCCACUCACCCCGUACAUGAACAGGUGCGAGCGGUUUUCACGGGCUCGGGCAGGUGUUCCUCUAUCCCGACCCUCCCCUCUCUGGCAAUGGCGGAGGCGACGACAGCGGGGGCACCGGAGGGACCAACCGGAGGCGAGGCCUACUCCCAUCUCUCGCGCAUGAAGUAGUCCACUUUGCGCCUCUGAUCGGUAGCGAACCGAGGCGACAUAGGCAGUGCAACGAUCCGACGCGAGCUGGGCGGCGACAAUGGCCUUCUCCGGCGUCGCGCUCCAUCGUCGGCUUUCUUCUCGCCGGUUGAUGAUGGAGACUGGAGCUCGGAGGUGGGAUCAAUUCAAGGAGGAGGUGGAUGUCAUGCUGUAGGAGGAGAAGAAGGCUGCGGAGAAGGAACAACAGUACAGUAUCUUCUUAGAUCCAGCCAAAGGCGAUGGCCCUGUUUCUACUCUGUUAUAGAUAAACUGUCCAUUUUUUUCUUCAUUGGAGCUCCACCGUUUUGAAAUAACUAGACUGUCACAUAGUAUUGAGAAAUACCAUGUUCAGCCAUUUACUUAGAAUGGAGCUGGGAUGCUGCUACUGUAUGACAAUGGUCAUCCCAUCAUUGUAAAUAUGCUCUAUUGCAGAAGGCACAUAAAGAACUCGGAAAGGGUAAAGUACAAGUAAAUGUGAAAAAACAAGCCUCACAGCGAAAAAUCAUGCCCCAAAAAGAAGCACAAAACAUUCGUGCCCAAGUAACUGUAAUCUUAAUGCACAAUGUCACCGGCUUGUUGAUAGGGAGUGUAAUGUCUAGUUAGUUUUUGAGUUAGUUGAGCCACUGCCAUCUGGGGCAAUCAUAUUCUGAACAUAUCGAGAUUUACACCUAUCGAUUAGCUAAUCUUACUAAAGAACACAAAUGUGCCUUUUCUUAAACUUGAAUCGUCCUGGUAAAAGUACGGAUUUUCACUUGACCUGUGGCUGUCUAUAUGUCGAAGGCUUCUGAAUUUCUCUAGGCGUAGAAUUGAACAAUAGUGAGACAUUGUAGGCGCAGGCCUGAAUAAUAGUGAGACAUGGUAUCAACUAGCGAAAAGUGCAAGAUGCAGGAUCAGCUUUUAUUUUUCCAGUUCAUGGUACAUUUGUUGCUCUUUGUCACCUCUUUGAAAGCACUGCAUACACCUGCAGUACAGUAAACUUUCUCAGGGUUGGUUCUCAUAUUUUCACACUGAGCUUAGGCUAACGCUAGAUGGCUAAGCACCUAUUUAUUUCUAGUUUUGAUCCGUUGAUACAUGGUGAAAUGAACAGAACGAUAUAGCUGGGCGUGCUCCUAUUUUAUGUCUAUGUAAAGAAGCAAUGCAAUCUAUAUCGGAUGCAAGUUUGGAAAUGUAUUAUUUGUACAUGCUCCUAUUUUAUGUUGGCCCCACAUCUCGUAACUCUCAAAUUUCUUACAUCGGCUGGCGAAUGUGGGCUAACUCUGAACUGCUAGAUUUUUAUAUGUGGUUGGUUGGACACCUUAUGUUGGCGGACACUGACCUUCUCCCAGCCUGUCAAUAUUCACGGAAGCUAAGUUUGAUUUAUUUCUAUUGCCAAGAGGUGGACACUGAUUCUCAUCCAGCCUGUCAAUCUUCACUAAUAUUUUGGUUUAACCUGCUCUCAAUGCAAGAGUAAUCAUGUAUAACAGGGAAAUGCGAUUUUUCCUUCAGGUUAUUGGUUGUUUGUUUUUUGUAGCAUACACCAGAUGGGAAUGUGCUAUUUUUGAUGAGUAAAUGCGAUUCUAACUAUGCUCCAUCAAUUUUUUUUCCAUAGCCAUGGAUAUGUAAAGAAAAUCAGCACCAUUAUUUUUGGUUUGAAAUUCCUAUAUACUGUAAGACUUUGAUUUCGUUCACAUUUGACCUAUUUUCCUAUCUUGCAGAGCCAUCCAUUCAAAUAUGGUUAAUAUCUUCUACCCUGUAUUUACUGUACCACUAGAAUAGAGACGUGCAUUUAUUUUAGUCGAUCAAUUUUUCUGCUGUAGCAAUACUUUCUGUUGUCAUCCUGGUUGUGCUCCAAUUCACUAUUUCCAUGAAUUAAUGUUAGGUACUCCGUCAGCAUGUUCACAUCAUGUGCUAGCCUGCUUUUAAAGGUCUAUUCAAGUGGAUGACGACAACUGUAUGAGGGUAGAGAGGAAUGAGUUUUCUGGAACACGUCUUCGUAUUUUAGUGUAUGGUGGGUACAGGUAUUGUUUGGUUCAAAAUUUAGACCUUUUUACCAAUCAUUAGUAGCAAAAUUUAGGAUUGUUGAGAAGAGAGGUGAAGCUAAAGGCUUCAGUACUAUUCUUAGGAUACUAUAUGUUGCUUCCAGGCCAUGUAUAAGAAUUGUUCAGUUACUUGAGAGAUUGUUGAACAUAUGAAAUUGAUGGAAGUCUUUGGGCACCCUCAAGUUAAGUUGCUUGAAGACCAAGUUCAAAUAUGUGUGAGGGCAGUGCAGUUGGGCAUGCCAGUGUAGUAGAUCUGUUUUGAAAUAGUGCUUUCAGAAAUUUUCCUGCUGCUGGUCGCCAAAUGGCAUUCAAUUAUCUCCAAAUGAUUUUUUCUCUACUCAUAGGGAUAGUUUUAAUUACGUGAGACAUUUCCCAGAACCAUUAGUUAGUUUUGUACACUGAAUCUAUUUAUUAGACGGUUUUGUUAUUCCUAGGGCCAUGUUGAUCGUUCUUCCAUUUGUUAUAUAGCAUUAUUUUAGGGCCAUCGGGCUACCAUCCAUUCCAUGGGCUCGUGAUUUUACUGUGUUCGUGAUGAUACAUCUGUCCCUUUUAUGUUUGGUUCUUCAGAUAUUAAUGUUGUCAUCUCAAUCAGUGCUGAGCAUCGUUUAUGGGCUUUUGGAUUGUUAUCAUCACUGUAGUGCUGAUGUACCUCCCAAGAAGAAAUAUAAUGUGGUAGGCAGAGAUACCUCUUAUGGGAUGGUUUAGAUUGAGGCAAAGCAAAGCUUUCGCCUCCAAAUUUUUUUACGGACUUGUCCCUGUAUUACAAAAAAAGUUUCUAGCUGAUUACUGUGGAAAUACCUGAGACAAAUCAAACUUUUGGAAUGCAGUUCUAGGAUUCUGGAUAUGGCAUUUUCAAGGUUAUUUCGUACUAUAAGAAAAUUUUCGUUUGAUCUGCACAUCUCAAAGUAAAGUUAACAACGCUCCGCAAUCUUUUUGUGUUUCUGGUCUAAGUCAACAAGAUAAUAUAGUACCUCGCCCAAAAAAAAGAUGAUCCAUUUGACAACUGUCGUGCAAAACAUUGGAGAAAAAAUUGCAAACAAGAACUACACUGAAGAACAAUUUAUAGGAACACGGUCACAUCCUACAAAAGAAGUCAGGCACGUCUCCUACUCAUCCUAAAAUUACAGCAACAUCAUUUUGUUUUUUAUAGUGUUAUUACUUUGUUGUGCCGUACGGAUUUUUCAAAUGCCUGAUGUAACUUAUUAGCAUGCAAAAUGUAAUAUUACGUCUGUCCCUUUUGUUUUGUAGAACGGAGACAGUUUCCUACUUCAGGCUGUAAUCUUACCUCAAGUGCCUUUGUUUUCUUACGUUUUGAAGAAAUCGAGGUGACGUGGCAUCACUAAUAGAGGAUUACUGUAGCUUAAUUAUCCUGGCAUCACAAUGACCCACUAGUUAUUGCAGUCUGAACUUGGGCAACUCGCAUGACAAACAGAAAGGAGCACCGAACGACAAAUAUGGAGAUAGCAACGGGGGAGAAUCUUGGCCAAGUCAUUCGUGGAGGAGUUAGAGAGCAGUCGGAGGCGACGCAGUCAAGGCGGAAUCGGAUGAGCCGUCAGAGGCAAAGCGGCCUGACGGUUGUGUGACUCGUGUCAGACCCAGAGAGUCGAUGGCGGCGAGCUGUCCAAUCGCCGCACCCUACAAUGAGCAGAAGAUAGAUCUUUUUUAUGAAGGAGAGACGAUUUGGCCGUUGAUCUUUUUUUCUUUUAGAGGAAGAGAAGGGCAGGUGUGUGUACACGACUGGAAUCCUCCACCUCCUUUCCAAUGAGCCGCCCAUUCACGCGAGCGCAGCAAGCAUAGGAAGGCGAUCUAUGUGGGGCUGAAGCUGCGGUCACCAGAAUGCAGCGUCCAAACGGAGGCUUUUGAAAGGAAGGGUUAUAUACUGCAAUUUGGAGGAAGCUGAGCGGCAUGAGGGAGGUGAAAGGGAAGGGUGUAAUGGCGCCGCUGACCAGCGGAGAUGAAACAGCAGUGGAAUAUUAAUGGAGAAGGAGAUGAACGAUUGGUAAGGAAAACAUAAUCUGUGUGCUGAUUAAAACAAUGAUCUUAAAGACAUGGAGCUUGCACGUAGUGGACCAAGUGAUUUUACUAAUGGAAACAGAAAGCAUGGCGCUGGGGUUCUCCGUGUCUUACCAGGGGCAUGGGGUGUGGGGAAUGACUGGGAUAUAUUUUGUUUUUUUCUUUCAAGGAAAAUGACCUCAGGAGGUGGGAUUGCAUAAGGUGUGACGUGGCUUGGUGUGAUUGAAUGUUGAGGUGUCUAUGCUGUAUGUUGAGAUAAAUCAAGUAGUAAGAGUGAACUUUUUUUGCGAAAAUGGGGGUGAACUUCUUAAAUAUAUAUGAUUCUUGUAAUACUCUCACUUAUAGUUAAGCAUGUCCAUACAAGCAUAAACCAUCUUAUAAACAUAGUAUAUAUUUGGUUCUGCAUACAGGGUUUCUUGCGCAAAUGCGACAAGGAACACUUUGAUCGAUUUCUGAAAAGGAAGAACAUCCAGUGAAUUGUAUUCUUAUGAU